GGCGGACGGGUGAGUAACACGUGGGAAUCUACCAUUAGAUGGGGGAUAGCAGGCCGAAAGGCCUAUUAAUACCGCAUAUGUAUGUAUCUCGACAGAGGUGUAUAUGAAAGGAGUAAUCCGUCUGAUGAUGAGCCCGCGCCCGAUUAGCUAGUUGGUAGGGUAAAAGCCUACCAAGGCGACGAUCGGUAGGUGGUCUGAGAGGAUGAUCACCCACAAUGGGACUGAGACACGGCCCAUACUCCUACGGGAGGCAGCAGUGGGGAAUUUUGUGCAAUGGGGGAAACCCUGACACAGCGACACCGCGUGAGCGAAGAAGCCCUUUGGGGUGUAAAGCUCUGUCAACGGGAACGAAAAAAAUGACGGUACCCGUGGAGGAAGCAUCGGCUAACUACGUGCCAGCAGCCGCGGUAAGACGUAGGAUGCAAGCGUUGUCCGGAUUUAUUGGGCGUAAAGAGUUCGUAGGCUGUUUGUUAAGUCUGAUGUUAAAGACUGGGGCUCAACCUCGGAAAUGCAUUGGAUACUGGCAGACUGGAGUGCAGUAGAGGCUAGUGGAAUUCCCAGUGUAGCGGUGAAAUGCGUAGAUAUUGGGAAGAACACCGGUGGCGUAGGCGACUAGCUGGGCUGUAACUGACGCUGAGGAACGAAAGCCAGGGGAGCGAAUGGGAUUAGAUACCCCAGUAGUCCUGGCCGUAAACGAUGGAUACUAGGCGUAGUGGGUAUCGACCCCUGCUGUGCCGCAGCUAACGCGAUAAGUAUCCCGCCUGAGUAGUACGGCCGCAAGGUUGAAACUCAAAGGAAUUGACGGGGGCCCGCACAAGCGGUGGAACAUGUGGUUUAAUUCGAAGCAACGCGAAGAACCUUACCAGGGCUUGACAUCUGUGGAACCUUCCGAAACCGGGAGGGGGUGCUCGCAGAGAGCCACAGACAGUGUGCAUGGCUGUCGUCAGCUCGUGUCGUGAAAUUGUUUGGGUAAGUCCCGCACGAGCGCACCCCCGUGUAGUGCAUCAGUAUGUUGGGCACUCUAGCGA
rnacentral:rRNA from 1 species